UACGUAGGGUGCGAGCGUUAAUCGGAAUUACUGGGCGUAAAGCGUGUGCAGGCGGUCUGUUAAGACAGGUGUGAAAUCCCCGGGCUUAACCUGGGAAUGGCGCUUGUUACUGGCAGACUAGAGUGCGUCAGAGGGGGGUGGAAUUCCACGUGUAGCAGUGAAAUGCGUAGAGAUGUGGAGGAACACCGAUGGCGAAGGCAGCCCCCUGGGCUAACACUGACGCUCAUGCACGAAAGCGUGGGGAGCAAACAGG
rnacentral:rRNA from 1 species